AAGAGCCAAUAAGAUUGCACCAGUUAAUUCAAAACGGAUGUAAUAAAUUACUUUACCAGUUUCGUACCUUCAUGUAACAACUUCUUCCCUCGUGGUAAGGAAUGAAGGAUCGACAAUUACAAUUUAUAAUCAUUUUUGAACUUCAAAGGGAUAAAUUGACAGGCCUAAUUACAAUGAAACGCCGCUGGAAGUGGCAUUUGUUGUCUCUGGAACUAUUUAAAUAACAAACUAAGUCAGUUUGAGGUACCUUUGUUUUUGUUUUGUUUUUUUUAUCAAAUGAGGGAUUUGUCUCCCGGGGACUACUACAAUUUUCGAGCAGGUCGAUGUUGAGAUAAUGGGGUGGCGCAUCUCAAACCAUGUAUUGUCAAAUAUGAAGUCAAGGGUUAGAUGAAUAAGACUUUUAGGGAACAAUGUCCCACGGGGGAACCACUAUAGCCAAUACUCAAAUUGUUCAAGAGUGGAAUAACAGUCAGAUAUAUUCACUUCAGGGAGUCUGAUGUCCCACGGAGUGCUUUCCUCCGCAAAAGAAAAGAAAAGACAGAAAUAACUUUGACCGGUGUGGAUGCAGUGAUGUGUAAUGUUUAGGUAACAAUUUGCAUGGUUUUAGAAGUAAGGCUGGCGACGAAGUUAUUUUCUCUCUAUUGUAAUCUCACUGUCGAGAUGUAAUAAAAGGGUUCAUACUAGCUGUUAUUAAGAAACUAUUUUUAAAAAGUUCCAUAGCUGACUUGAUUACAAAAAUUAACCAACUCGAGCAUAAGUUUUUAGAGUUUUAUAAUUUAUGUCGCUGCAUUUGUGAAUUUAGAAGGAUCUUGGAGUUAAAAAGAU